rnacentral:rRNA from 1 species
UACGUAGGGUGCAAGCGUUGUCCGGAAUUAUGGGGCGUAAAGGGCUCGUAGGCGGUCUGUCGCGUCGGUAGUGAAAACUCAGGGCUUAACCCUGAGCCUGCUUCCGAUACGGGCAGACUAGAGGUAUGCAGGGGAGAAUGGAAUUCCUGGUGUAGCGGUGAAAUGCGCAGAUAUCAGGAGGAACACCAGUGGCGAAGGCGGUUCUCUGGGCAUUACCUGACGCUGAGGAGCGAAAGUGUGGGGAGCGAACAGG